GGAUGUAUAACUCAGCUGGAUAGAGUAUCAUGCUGACAUCAUGAAAGUCACUGGUUCAAACCCAGUUACAUCCA
rnacentral:tRNA from 1 species